rnacentral:lncRNA from 10 species
CAGGCCGGGCAUGGUGGCACACUCCUGUAAUCCCAGCACUUUAGGAGAGCAAGGUGGGCGGAUCACCUGAGCCUCCCAAAGUUCUGAGAUUACAGGCGUGAGCUACCGUACCCAGCUUCCUUGUAUUUUUGAUAUCAGUUUCUUAUGCUGUCUUUAAUCAUUGGCUCAGUAAGGGUAUAAAUUAAAUGAUAUCAGAUUAAGAGCAAAAAC